rnacentral:rRNA from 1 species
UACGAAGGGAGCUAGCGUUGUUCGGAAUUACUGGGCGUAAAGCGCACGUAGGCGGGGUGAUAAGUCAGGGGUGAAAUCCCGAGGCUCAACCUCGGAACUGCCUUUGAUACUGUUAGGCUUGAGCUCGGGAGAGGUGAGUGGAAUUCCUAGUGUAGAGGUGAAAUUCGUAGAUAUUAGGAGGAACACCAGUGGCGAAGGCGGCUCUCUGGCCCGAUACUGACGCUGAGGCGCGAAAGCGUGGGGAGCAAACAGG